rnacentral:lncRNA from 1 species
CUCGUUGAACAGCGAGUACGAUUCUGAUUAUGGCUCCGAUCAGAGUGUGGAUAAAUAUGAAGUGGAUUAUUUACAGCCACAGAAAAACAUUGCUAUUAGUAGUAAGAGUCCCAAGGUCUCCCCGAAACAACAGCGCAAACGCUGGUCGUGGUGGAAAUAGUGGAUAAGUAUGGAUAGGUACUGUACAUAGAGGAUAAAUAAAGAGUAUCUAUGGCUACAUUAAAGGAUACAUAAAUGAUAACCGUGGAUAGAUAUAUCAUGGAGAAAUACAGGAUAAAUAAAAUAUACUAUUUGUUUAGUUUUGAAAUAUUAAAAUAUAUACUAACAUAUAAUUUGUUGUCCAUGCAAUUUAAAUAUUUUUUUAGAAAUUCUUUUGAAAAAUGUAUGUGCAUCUAUGAACAAAACUAUAUAACCAUUUGUUUAUAUCUCGGUAACAAAAUUCCCUAAAAUUUUUUUUUAUAUAUUUACAUCUACACUAUCUAGAUGUGUUUCACAAAGCAGUAUCGUGCAGCAGAUGGUGAUCAACCUGCAGUUAUCAGAGUGAGAAAAUAAUGUUCAUUCUUUUCAUUAUAUGUAGUAGUCUUGUAUUUGGAGGUAAAUAAAUAGAAUGGAUCUAUUCCCUAAUGAACAAAAUUUUGAUCAAGUCUAUAGACAAAGAUUUUAUCAUAGCUUCACCAAAAAGCAUCACAAAAUUAGUAGUACUCCGAAGUUUCGUUGCGAAAUGUUG